CUAGCGAAGUGGAAGGAAAAAGGAAUGUGCUUCCGUUAUUUUUCAGGAACCGGCUUCGGUUGUUUUCCACUCUCGGGGGGGAACCGCCGACCCCUUCGGGGCUGAAGGAACCCGCUCAGCCUCAGAAGCCCGUCUCCUUAACCUACCACGACGAGAAAAGUGACGAAAGAACCGCCAUAUUUCAUCGAUUUUAAGAUUUUAUCAGUGGGAACCACUUCAAGUUUUCUACUGUGUCCUCUAGAAAUGUGCCCCAACAUUGAUUUCUGGCACAACCAGGUGUUCAAGGCUCAUCUUGUACUUUCCCUGCCCAUCCCUGGAAUCAGUGAAUACUCCUGAGAGCUCUGGGUCCUUUUCCUGUGGAAGGUUGUCUAGAAACCAAGAUCUGGGUGCCAGGGUGAGCCUCCAGGCUGUGUUCACUCACCCAGCCUCCCUCUGAAGGUCCUUGAGGCCAACAGAUCCAACAAGACCCCCUCCACUGGCUGGAGACCCUCCACCUUCUCAUCCUGGACAGAGCUAUGAUGCUGCACUGAGAAUUUUCUGACCAUGAAGAAAUCCCCCUUGGACAAUUUUGGGAAACCUCCACAUGCUUCUUUCAGUCCUCCUCUGGGGGUUCACUGGGUGAGGCCCACAUGUAUCUGAGGCCUUUGCCUUCAGUAGCUUCAGAUCUCCAAGAAAGCAUGCUCCAGAUUCCUACCUGGGUGUAGUGAGCAUGGCUGCUAGCAUUCUGGUUGCUGAGGGGCAAUGGGCUCAGUCUACAGCACUUCACUAGGGCUCCUGCUUCUUUCAGUGGACUUAUCACCCCAUCACCUAUUCAUGUCUACAAAUUCACAGCCUCUUUCUUGUCUUUCCCUCUCAUGCAAAGCUUGGGUGGAGAAGGGAACAGAUACCUGCCUGUGCAGAUUGGAAGAUCCAUAUGUCUAACUCCUCCUUUGGGAGAUUUGUCAGACAGUGUUUCUAUUUCUAUUUUCAACUUCACUUCUCAACUCUACCUUUGAGGGUGCCAAUGUAUCCAAUGUCAGAGUCUUCACUGAACACAAAUCCAAUCCUUCUAGUUAAGUGUUCAUGUUUGCUGGAUCUUAGGGUUCAUUCAUCUCUGAUGUUAGGAUUUAAUUUUUUCUAUGUGCACUUCCUAUUUGCAAUAGCCAAAUACAGGCUCUGGCAAGAGUAGAAUGAAUAAAUAAUGGUAUAUACAUGCAGAAGAUUACUAUCCUGCAGUAUGAACAACCAAAUGCAAUAUUUGGAUAAAUAUGGAUAAAUUUCACAAUAUGUUAAGAGGGUUGUCCUGUUUACUCCAUUUACAUGAAGCCCAAAAAGAGGCACAACUAAUUUACAGUGUGAGAAAUCAAGACAGUGAUUAUCCUAGGGAGGGAUAAAAUCUGGAAGGGGGCAGGAGGGAUACUGUUAAUGUGUGGUUUAUCUGUGUGUUGGUAAAAUGGGGUUAAAAGGGCUUAGUUAACUGAUUUUUCAUCUUGUGAAAAAUAAACUGAACUUAAAUGUU